rnacentral:rRNA from 1 species
ACGCUCGACACCUACGGGAGACAGCAGUCGGGAAUAUUGCGCAAUGGAGGAAACUCUGACGCAGUGACGCCGCGUAUGGGAAGAAGGUUUUCGGAUUGUAAACCAUUUUAGACAAGGAAGAAACAAGACAGUACUUGUAGAAUAAGCUCCGGCUAACUACGUGCCAGCAGCCGCGGUAAUCUGAGCGGGCUGGCAAGGC